rnacentral:snRNA from 1 species
GUGCUCGCUUUGGCAGCACAUAUACUAAAAUUGGAAUGAUACAGAGAAGAUUAGCAUGGCCCCUGCACAAGAAUGACAUGCAAAUUCAUGAAGCGUUCCAUAUUUUU